UCCCUGGUGGUCUAGUGGUUAGGAUUCUCGGCUUUCAUUGCUGUGGGCCCAGGUUCAAUCCCUGGUUAAGGAA
rnacentral:tRNA from 1 species